rnacentral:rRNA from 1 species
CAUAGGUUAAUGAGGCGAACCGGGGGAACUGAAACAUCUAAGUACCCCGAGGAAAAGAAAUCAACCGAGAUUCCCCCAGUAGCGGCGAGCGAACGGGGAGGAGCCCAGAGCCUGAAUCAGUGUGUGUGUUAGUGGAAGCGUCUGGAAAGGCGCGCGAUACAGGGUGACAGCCCCGUACACAAAAAUGCACAUACUGUGAGCUCGAUGAGUAGGGCGGGACACGUGGUAUCCUGUCUGAAUAUGGGGGGACCAUCCUCCAAGGCUAAAUACUCCUGACUGACCGAUAGUGAACCAGUACCGUGAGGGAAAGGCGAAAAGAACCCCGGCGAGGGGAGUGAAAAAGAACCUGAAACCGUGUACGUACAAGCAGUGGGAGCCUCUUAAUGGGGUGACUGCGUACCUUUUGUAUAAUGGGUCAGCGACUUAUAUUCUGUAGCAAGGUUAACCGAAUAGGGGAGCCGAAGGGAAACCGAGUCUUAACUGGGCGUUAAGUUGCAGGGUAUAGACCCGAAACCCGGUGAUCUAGCCAUGGGCAGGUUGAAGGUUGGGUAACACUAACUGGAGGACCGAACCGACUAAUGUUGAAAAAUUAGCGGAUGACUUGUGGCUGGGGGUGAAAGGCCAAUCAAACCGGGAGAUAGCUGGUUCUCCCCGAAAGCUAUUUAGGUAGCGCCUCGUGAAUUCAUCUCCGGGGGUAGAGCACUGUUUCGGCAAGGGGGUCAUCCCGACUUACCAACCCGAUGCAAACUGCGAAUACCGGAGAAUGUUAUCACGGGAGACACACGGCGGGUGCUAACGUCCGUCGUGAAGAGGGAAACAACCCAGACCGCCAGCUAAGGUCCCAAAGUCAUGGUUAAGUGGGAAACGAUGUGGGAAGGCCCAGACAGCCAGGAUGUUGGCUUAGAAGCAGCCAUCAUUUAAAGAAAGCGUAAUAGCUCACUGGUCGAGUCGGCCUGCGCGGAAGAUGUAACGGGGCUAAACCAUGCACCGAAGCUGCGGCAGCGACGCUUAUGCGUUGUUGGGUAGGGGAGCGUUCUGUAAGCCUGUGAAGGUGGCCUGUGAGGGUUGCUGGAGGUAUCAGAAGUGCGAAUGCUGACAUAAGUAACGAUAAAGCGGGUGAAAAGCCCGCUCGCCGGAAGACCAAGGGUUCCUGUCCAACGUUAAUCGGGGCAGGGUGAGUCGACCCCUAAGGCGAGGCCGAAAGGCGUAGUCGAUGGGAAACAGGUUAAUAUUCCUGUACUUGGUGUUACUGCGAAGGGG